GAAAUGCGAUAAGUAAUGUGAAUUGCAGAAUUCAGUGAAUCAUCGAAUCUUUGAACGCACAUUGCGCCCGCCAGUACUCUGGCGGGCAUGCCUGUUCGAGCGUCAUUUCAACCCUCAAGCCUAGCUUGGUGUUGGGGCCCCGCGGCUGCCGCGGGCCCUGAAAAGAAGUGGCGGGCUCGUUGCACUCCGAGCGAAGUAGAUCUCUAAUCUAGCUAUGGUAGUGUGGCGGGUUCCGGCCUCUAAACCCCCCCUUCUUACAAAGGUUGACCUCGGAUCAGGUAGGAAUACCCGCUGAACUUAA
rnacentral:misc_RNA from 1 species